rnacentral:rRNA from 1 species
ACGCUGGCGGCAGGCCUAACACAUGCAAGUCGAACGGUAGCACAGAGAGCUUGCUCUCGGGUGACGAGUGGCGGACGGGUGAGUAAUGUCUGGGAAACUGCCUGAUGGAGGGGGAUAACUACUGGAAACGGUAGCUAAUACCGCAUAACGUCGCAAGACCAAAGAGGGGGACCUUCGGGCCUCUUGCCAUCAGAUGUGCCCAGAUGGGAUUAGCUAGUAGGUGGGGUAACGGCUCACCUAGGCGACGAUCCCUAGCUGGUCUGAGAGGAUGACCAGCCACACUGGAACUGAGACACGGUCCAGACUCCUACGGGAGGCAGCAGUGGGGAAUAUUGCACAAUGGGCGCAAGCCUGAUGCAGCCAUGCCGCGUGUAUGAAGAAGGCCUUCGGGUUGUAAAGUACUUUCAGCGGGGAGGAAGGCGAUAAGGUAAAUAAACCCACUGUCGAUUGACGUUACCCGCAGAAGAAGCACCGGCUAAU